rnacentral:rRNA from 2 species
GGGUUGUGAGGUUAAGCGACUAAGCGUACACGGUGGAUGCCCUGGCAGUCAGAGGCGAUGAAGGGCGUGCUAAUCUGCGAUAAGCGCCGGUAAGGUGAUAUGAACCGUUAUAACCGGCGAUACCCGAAUGGGGAAACCCAGUGUGAUUCGUCACACUAUCAUUAACUGAAUCCAUAGGUUAAUGAGGCGAACCGGGGGAACUGAAACAUCUAAGUACCCCGAGGAAAAGAAAUCAACCGAGAUUCCCCCAGUAGCGGCGAGCGAACGGGGAGGAGCCCAGAGCCUGAAUCAGCAUGUGUGUUAGUGGAAGCGUCUGGAAAGGCGCGCGAUACAGGGUGACAGCCCCGUACACAAAAGCGCAUGUGCUGUGAGCUCGAUGAGUAGGGCGGGACACGUGGUAUCCUGUCUGAAUAUGGGGGGACCAUCCUCCAAGGCUAAAUACUCCUGACUGACCGAUAGUGAACCAGUACCGUGAGGGAAAGGCGAAAAGAACCCCGGCGAGGGGAGUGAAAAAGAACCUGAAACCGUGUACGUACAAGCAGUGGGAGCACCCUUUGGGGUGUGACUGCGUACCUUUUGUAUAAUGGGUCAGCGACUUAUAUUCUGUAGCAAGGUUAACCGUAUAGGGGAGCCGGAGGGAAACCGAGUCUUAAUUGGGCGUUAAGUUGCAGGGUAUAGACCCGAAACCCGGUGAUCUAGCCAUGGGCAGGUUGAAGGUUGGGUAACACUAACUGGAGGACCGAACCGACUAAUGUUGAAAAAUUAGCGGAUGACCUGUGGCUGGGGGUGAAAGGCCAAUCAAACCGGGAGAUAGCUGGUUCUCCCCGAAAGCUAUUUAGGUAGCGCCUCGUGAAUUCAUCUCCGGGGGUAGAGCACUGUUUCGGCUAGGGGGCCAUCCCGGCUUACCAACCCGAUGCAAACUGCGAAUACCGGAGAAUGUUAUCACGGGAGACACACGGCGGGUGCUAACGUCCGUCGUGAAGAGGGAAACAACCCAGACCGCCAGCUAAGGUCCCAAAGUCAUGGUUAAGUGGGAAACGAUGUGGGAAGGCCCAGACAGCCAGGAUGUUGGCUUAGAAGCAGCCAUCAUUUAAAGAAAGCGUAAUAGCUCACUGGUCGAGUCGGCCUGCGCGGAAGAUGUAACGGGGCUAAACCAUGCACCGAAGCUGCGGCAGCGA